rnacentral:rRNA from 1 species
ACUAUGACGGUAGCUUACCAGAAAGGGACGGCUAACUACGUGCCAGCAGCCGCGGUAAUACGUAGGUCCCGAGCGUUGUCCGGAUUUAUUGGGCGUAAAGCGAGCGCAGGCGGUUAGAUAAGUCUGAAGUUAAAGGCUGUGGCUUAACCAUAGUACGCUUUGGAAACUGUUUAACUUGAGUGCAGAAGGGGAGAGUGGAAUUCCAUGUGUAGCGGUGAAAUGCGUAGAUAUAUGGAGGAACACCGGUGGCGAAAGCGGCUCUCUGGUCUGUAACUGACGCUGAGGCUCGAAAGCGUGGGGAGCAAACAGGAUUAGAUACCCUGGUAGUCCACGCCGUAAACGAUGAGUGCUAGGUGUUGGGUCCUUUCGGGACUCAGUGCCGCAGUCUAACGCAUUAAGCACUCCGCCUGGGGAGUACGGUCGCAAGAUUAAAACUCAAAUGAAUUGAC